CCUCCUACUUCCUUCUGGAGCGCCUAGGAUUAGGGGUGGAGAUUUUUUAAGAGGGCUGGCGGUGACUCGACUUUUUCUCCCUUCUGGUUCCCCUCGCGGGUGCUGUCAGGGACCCAAGCCUGCCCGGCCAGCGGGCCUUGGAAGCCCCUGGCCUGGGAGGGUUUCCCAGGCCCCUCCUGGUGGAAGAAGCAGCCGCGGCACAGACCCCUGGCACUGCGCUGUGCCGCCCUGCUCUGCCCGGUGCACGGACGCGCUGCGGGGCUGCUGGCCUGAGGGAUGGGCCCGGGCGUUGGGCCGACGGGCAGGAGCGGAGAAAAGGACAGCGCGCAACAAGUAGGACUCGAGCGAGCGCCAGACUCCAGAACGGUGCCUGAACCCGGACUGUGACCAGGAACCAGCCAGGCCACCUGGAGGAUCGUGCUGCAGCUGCCCGCGUUUCCCAAAGGACGGGAUUUUAAAUGGGAAAGGGAAUUCCAGGUUGCAGGGGCAGAGAAUUGCAUUCUGACCACGGGUAUUCACUCCACCCACCUCUGUGUCAGCAGUGGUGCAGCUUCUCUUCAGAGGACUUGCCUACUCACCCUCAGUGCUGAGGCAUAAACCAGCUAGGCCAGUAGGGGAAAUAGGAGCUGAGAUAUCAGAAGCAUUUUGGAAAGGAGAUGGAUAAAACAGGUGGCUCCUAACUGAAGACACUAGGACCCACUGACAGCGGGGAAACAGCCCAGGCUGCACAUCACAGUCCUCAAAAGGCUCAGGAACUCGGUACCAGGACUGGGUGGGGCAGGGGUGGAGUGAGGGUGCGGGGUCGCUAAAUCAGGGGAGACUGAGUGAAAAGAAGACAGUUGGCUACCUAGAUCCUCUCCCUACCCGACUCCACGUCCUGACAGAGUCCCGAGGAUUAUUUUCUGAAGAAAGGUGCAGCAGGGUUUCUGGCACGGAGAACACCAGGCAUAGCUGAGGACUGGGUACUAUUCUGAAAGUGGGAAAUGAGCACUAUUACCAAUAAGGGCCCUAGUGGGAAACAGACCUCCAAAGGUUUCCACUGAGGGCCAUUUAGUGCAGGGACUAGUUACAAAGAUGUGAGUAGGACUAUGGGAACUUCAAUAGUGGGGCACCUAGGAACUGGCGACAGCAAGAAGCCUCACCACUCCCAACCCUCCAGGAAAGAGAAGGGCCUAGCUUUACGGUGCCUCCCACUGGUGAGGCCGACCAGGAGUCAAGAGCAACGGGAUUCAGGAUAUACUGUCCUUACCCUUGUCCUACGGCCAACAAAGGGUGGGAAAUGGAUCUAGAGAGGCAAGAAGAGAAUGACCGGCACAGUGAUGUUAUAGAUACUGCCUCCUCAGUCUGAGAGGUGCGGCCCCCCUUCCCCACUUGGCUACCAGAAAACUGACAGCCAUCGACUUUCCAAGUGAGUCAGU